AUUAAGUUAUUAAGGGCGCACGGUGGAUGCCUUGGCACUAGAAGCCGAAGAAGGACGUUACUAACGACGAUAUGCUUUGGGGAGCUGUAAGUACGCUUUGAUCCAGAGAUUUCCGAAUGGGGAAACCCAGCAUGAGUUAUGUCAUGUUAUCCGCAUAUGAAUACAUAGUAUGUGAGAAGGCACACCCGGAGAACUGAAACAUCUUAGUACCCGGAGGAAGAGAAAGAAAACUCGAUUCCCUGAGUAGCGGCGAGCGAAACGGGAAGAGCCCAAACCAAUAGGCUUGCCUAUUGGGGUUGUAGGACACUCAAUACGGAGUUACAAAGGAAAUGAUUAGACGAAUGGUUUUGGAAAAGCCAACCAUAGAAGGUAAAGGUCCUGUAGUCGAAAGUUAUUUCUCUCCUGAGUGGAUCCUGAG
rnacentral:rRNA from 1 species